rnacentral:lncRNA from 1 species
GGGGGGAUACAUACCUUUCUUGCUCUUUUGAAACUUUUUUUAGGGAGAAUGAGAUGCUCUAUAUUUUUUUUCUUUCCUCUGAGGUGGGUAUCUUGUACCCCUAAUUCUACUGUCGGACACUUGUCCAUUUUUACCUCUCGUCUCACUUUUUCUUUUCUUUCGAGGUUCCAGGCACUUUCCCCUUUUUAUUUCCUCGUAUUCUCUUUUUUAGAGCACUCAUUUCCUGAAAUAAUAUAGCAAGUGGUAGUAACAAAGAUAACUUAAGCAUUUAUUUCACAAGGAAAAACAGAAAUAUUUUUGGCUAUUCUCUUCCGGAUUAGGAGU